AUGGAUCUCAUCGUUGGCGCCUCGAGCAACGCCGUGAAAUCCCUCGUCGGCAAGCUCGGGAGCCUACUCGCCCAGGAGUACACCCUGAUCCAGGGCGUCCGCGACGACAUCCAGUACAUCAACGACGAGCUGGCCAGUAUGCAGGCUUUCCUCAACAGGACCAAGCGUGCUGGCAGCCACGACGAGCAGCGGCAGGACUGGAUGAAGCAGGUGCGCGAGGUGUCCUACGACAUUGAGGACUGCGUCGACGACGUCAACCACCGGCUCGGCCACGAGCCCCGAGGGAACGGCAAGCUGAUGUACAUCCGGAAGAAGUGGUAUUUCCUCACGACGAUGUACGUGCGCCGGUGCAUCGCCGCCGAGAUCGGCAACCUCAAGGUUCGGGCGCAGCAGGUCAGCGACCGGCGCACGAGGUACGGGGUGGACAACCUUACGGGAAGUAGCAGUGAGCCCGUGGUAGCUGACGCUCCUACAGACCGUGUAGCUCCGCCUCCCGAACUCAUUGGCACGAAGCAACCGGUGGGCGUGGAAGAUGCCAUGAACGAACUCGGGGGAUGGUUUAAAGCAGAGCAGCACACCACUCAGCAGAGCACUGAGAAGCGGUUCCUUGCUAUUUUUGGGUUUGGUGGCCUUGGGAAGACAACGCUCGCCAUGGAGUUGUACCGCAGGUUUGGAGAUGAUUUUGACUGCAGAGCGUCGGUGCAGGCCUCGCAGAAGUUCAAUCUUUUGAUGAUUCUGAGGAGCCUUGUCAAGCAAUUCCAUGAGCAGCAGGCCGGUGCUUCUCUGAAUGACCCCCUUGAGGGAAUUGAGGAAUGGGGAGAAAAAGAUCUCAGAAAGAAGCUCGUUGACCAACUGAAAGAUAAGAGGUACCUUGUCUUGGUAGAUGACAUAUGGUCUGUAUCAGCAUGGGAAAACAUUAAUGAUUCUUUGCCUGAAAGAGUGAAGUGUGGGAGUGUAGUGGUGACAACAAGGUUUAAAUCUGUAGCUGUUGCCUGCUGCCGUCGAAAUGGUCGCUUGUAUGACCACAAGCCACUUCUUGAAGAAAAUUCCUACAAAUUAUUUCGCCAAAUUGUCUCAAGUGCUCCUGAUAAUGCAUCUAAAGCUUCAUUAUAUGGUCAAAUUCUAUCCGGCACUCCUGGUAAUCCAACUAAAGCUCCGUCAGGUGAUUACAUUGUCACCUCUGCUUCUGAUAGUCCAACUGAAGCUGCAUCGCAUGGUAUAAUUAUCUCGGGUGCUGUUGGUGAUAAUCCAACUAAAGCAGUAGCACAUGGUCAAAUUAUGUCUGGUACUUCUGACAAUCCCAUUGGAGAUGCUCAAGCUCUUUUAAAAAAGUGUGGAGGUUUGCCUUUGGCCAUAAUUGUCGUAGCAGGGCUCGUGGCUAGUAAACUGCGAUCAGGCACUAGCUCGAAGACAAUAGAUAACUACUUAGCUGAAGUAGACAAGGCUUUGAAUGGGGGGUUGGAAACUCAUCUCAGUACGGAAGGAGUGACAAAAGUACUUGACCAAUGCUACAAUGAUUUGCCGGCUGAUCUCAAGACCUGUUUAUUGUACUUGAGCAUGUUUCCGAAGGGCAGCUUUGUUAGCAGAAAGCGUUUGAUUAGAAGAUGGAUAGGAGAAGGCUUUAUCAUUCAAAAGCAUGGGAAGACUAUUGAGGAAGUUGCUGAAGAUUACUUCAACGAACUAAUUAGCAGAAACUUGAUUCGGGCAGUCAACAACAGCAGUAAUGGCAAAGUCAAGACCUAUCAAAUUCAUGACAUGGUUCUUGAGUAUAUUGUUUCCAAGUCAAGCGACGAGAAUUUCAUCACUGUAGUGGGUGGUCACUGGCAGACACCAUUUCCAAGCUACAAGGUGCGCCGACUCUCUAUUCACAGAAGUGCUCGGGAAGAAAAAGAAACUGUAGAGAGGAUGAAAUUGUCACAUGUCCGAUCAUUGACAGCAUUCGACAGCUUUAAAGCACUGCAUUCUUGUUUGCUGAAGUUUCAGAUACUGCAAGUGCUGGAUCUUGAAUCUUGUAGAGAUUUAUCGUCCCAUCAGCUCCAGAAAAUAUGCAAAAUGCACCAGUUGAAGUACUUGAGCCUACGUCGGACAGACAUUGAGGAGAUUCCAGCUGAAAUAGGGAAGCUGGAAUAUUUGGAGGUAUUUGACAUAAGGGAGACAGAAGUAAGUGAACUGCCUCAGUCAGUUGGGGGGCUAAAGCGGAUGACCCAUCUGCUUGCUGGCAAUAAAAGCAAGCGGAAAGCACUGAUAAUGACAGAAGAGAUCACAAAGAUGACAGCCCUUAAAACGCUAUCUGGUAUGGGGAUAUGUGGAACCUCAACUGCAGGCAUGGUCAGAUUCACCAGGAAGACAACGGCUACUGGCUUAUUCAAAUCGACUAGCCGCGGCUCAUGUAAGCAAGUGCUCCAAGCCUUAGAGAAGCUCACAAACCUGAAGAAACUCAGCCUUUACAUACUUGGGAAGCUGGAAGAAGAAGAUGAGAUACUGUUGCUCUCUGCCAUUGAGCACCUGAGCAGUUGCUCGCUCAAAUUUCUUGCGGUUGAUGAUGGCUUCACUGGCUUUCUUGAGGAAUCACUCAGUUCUUCAAAAGCACCGCCAGAGCACCUGCACACCCUGGAGCUUUGCGGCAAUUUAUUUGAAGUGCCCAAGUGGAUCGUUAGUAUGCAUGGCCUUGAGAAACUAACUUUGUCCUUAACUUCACUGAGGACAGAUACUUUGAUGCUUCUAAGUGAAUUGCCUGAGCUAUUCUCUCUCACUUUCUCUCUAGAUGCAGCAAAGUCCAAGAAUGGAAGUGCUCUUGAAAUUCUGCAUAAGAAUACAAUGAAUUCAGGAGGAGAGAUAUUUGUGCCGGAUGGUGGUUUCGGCAAGCUUAAGCUACUGCGCUUAUUGGCACCAUUUCUGCCACCUUUGAGUUUUGUGGAAGGUGCCAUGCCGAUGCUCCAGAGACUUGAACUGAGGUUCAGAACUGCGUAUGGUGUUCAUGGCCUGGAAAAUCUUGCAAGUCUCCGUCAGAUAUUUCUUGCAGUCAGCAGCAAGGCCCCUAAGGCGGCCGAGGAGAUAAAGCGAUUGGCGAACAAGAUUGAGAAGAAUCCCCCUACUGUGAUUGUCGACGAGUACAACGAAUCAUCAAUGGAGUAA
rnacentral:rRNA from 1 species